rnacentral:lncRNA from 1 species
UUUGGGCCUCUUAACCCGCGUCAAUGCGAUACCUUAUACGCGAACGCGAAGAACAAUGGCUCUGGGACCUUCACGCACCGAACAUCACUAUGCGAACGCGACCCGCAUCACACGAACGUGAAGCACAACCACAAGGACCAUCCGCGAAUGUGAGACACCAGAUGUGAAUGCAAAGCACAAAAUCAGGGCCACCCAAACUCCUUCUACGCGAACGCGAGAGACUUCUCAUGAUCGCGAAGGCACAAAUCUGCCUGCACCUGCUACUGCAUUUUCGGCAAUUCUCCCAAGUUCAAAACUUCCUGUUAACCAUCCAAAAUCACCCUGAGGCCCAAGGGACCUCAACCAAAAGCACCAACACAUCCUAAAAUAUCAUCCAAACUUGUUUUAUUCAUCAAAACACCUCAAACAACACCAAAACCAUUAAUUCACAUCGAAUUCAAGCCUAAGUUCUUCUAAAACUUUCGAAACAGGCAUUUGAUCAAAAUUCACAACCAAAUCACCUCCGAAUGAUCUGAAAGUUUACACACACAUCCCAAAUCAACGAAACUACAACAAUUCUCGAAACUCCAUUCCAACCCUUGGAUCAUAAUCUCACAUAUCAACCGAAAAUGCCAAAAUACUAACUUCGCCAAUUCAAGCAUAAUUCUACUCCGGACCUCCAAACCACUUCCGAUCACACUCCUAAGUCAUAUGUCACCCAACGAAGCUAACCAAAUCAUAAAAACUUCGAUCCGAGCUCAUAUACAAAUAAGUCAACUCUUGGUCAAACCUUUCAAAUUCAAAGCUUUCAACUGAAACUGUUCUUUCAAAUUCAUUCUGAUUUUUCUGAAACCAAAAC